CGAUGGCUUUUUAGUAGUUAACACUUUCGUAACAGGGGGGGGGGGGGUGGAGGGAGGAGGGGUUACAAUGGUGCGGCGUUUCUCAUCGUCUUUUUUUGUCCGCCCUCGCGCAUACCUCUCGUAUUCACGUUCGUUUAAACUUAAACGAUAACCAACUAGUAUACAUCAAUCUCUACGUCCCAGUCACAAGCCUCGCGCAUCGAUAUCAAACCUAGGUUAAGUUCAUGGUUAAUGCAGGAGCAUAGGGAUCCCGGUGCCCGGACUUUCUCGGUGUUCCUAGAGCUCGUUUUGUUCUGAAGUAGACACGGGUACGUAUUCGUUUCGAACACACCGUUCGGAGCCUUUAAUCAACGUUUUUCAAAUAAUUUCAAUGAAAAUAUGGUCAUAACAUGUUCAGUAAUAAACAACAUCUUCGGUAAUAAAAUUCAAACGAUAAAAUCUCA